CCAAUAGCGUAUAUUAAAGUUGUUGCAGUUAAAAAGCUCGUAGUUGAAUUUCGGGAUCAAUAUUUCGGUCAUGCCGUUGGUAUGCACUGUUAUCAUUGAUUUCUCACCUUCUAAAGAACCGUAAUGCCAUUAAUUUGGUGUUACGGGGAAUUAGGACUGUUACCUUGAAAAAAUUAGAGUGUUUAAAGCAGGCUCACGCUUGAAUACAUUAGCAUGGAAUAAUGAAAUAGGACAUCCGAUUCUAUUUUGUUGGUUUCUAGGAUCGAUGUAAUGAUUAAUAGGGAUAGUUGGGGGCAUUAGUAUUCAAUUGUCAGAGGUGAAAUUCUUGGAUUUAUUGAAGACUAACUACUGCGAAAGCAUUUGCCAAGGAUGUUUUCAUUAAUCAAGAACGAAAGUUAGGGGAUCGAAGACGAUCAGAUACCGUCGUAGUCUUAACCAUAAACUAUGCCGACUAGGGAUCGGAUGAUGUUAAUUUUUUAAUGACUCAUUCGGCGCCUUACGGGAAACCAAAGUGUUUGGGUC
rnacentral:rRNA from 1 species